GUGGCGGUGGGGGGCGGGCAGAAGUGGCAGUGUGGAGGAGAGGUGGCUGGGCCCAGAAGCAAAGACUGGGGCAGAUGGGGCAGGGGAGAGGUAACUGCCGGCCCCAAAGAGCACAUAGAUGCUCUUUGCGGGGUUGACUAGUUAUUAUUUUCCAUUCACAAAGCAAGAGGCACUAGAUUAUUUACAAUAAAUCUUACCAUGACCUUAGCAUUCAAUCUUAAAAAUUAUAAUUAUAAAAGAUAUGUAAGAGCACGGAGGAAGAUGAAAUUACCAUCAACAGAACAGGACCAGGAGACGGCACUUAUAAGCAGCUCCUUGCAAACUACUGCUUGGGGAAAUUAUUCUAAAUUGCCAAACCACAGUUAGGGAACUUUGUCUGAUGGAGGUUGUGACAGGUGCAGUAAUCCAGAAGUCAAGAUACUUUCCCAGGCCUUUUACAGAAAAAAACUGUGAGAGGGAAGUCAUCCAAUUAUACCCAAACCAGGAGAUCAUUAUAUGGGUAAAUAAAGCCAACAGACUCUUGGUCAUCUGAAACAAGACAGUGAUUCAGUUUGCUUGGGGAAGGUCCCAGCUGAGGAGGCAGCCUUUAAUCAAAACUUUCAGAAGAUGUGGGACUGUCCUCAGUCCCCCAGACUAAUAGCAACAAGGCAACAUACUUCAGUAGCUGAACAAACUGAAACCUGCUAUAUGUACCUAUGAUUAUGAACAGAUCCAGUGCUGGGAACACCCCAGGUUCAGGAGCUAUUUUGACUGAUCUAGUUCUUGUCUGCUGAGCCAUCUGCUAUGAUGCUCAAAUCAACACUGAUGUGUUCCUGCCUCUCCUUUACCCAGUGUAAACAGAGAAUCUUUUUUAGCAGUGGGAAGUGACCCUUUGACACAGGGCUUGGAUGAAAAAUUGCCCGUUAUGAUUAGAAUGUGAUUCAUCCAGUUCAUGUAGGCAAAUUCCAGCAGAACUACAUGUAUGGCUCUUAGAUGCUGGUCUCAUUGAAGACUCUUCUAGUGACAAUAUCACUUAAUCACAGUGAACACCAAAGAAGCAUGUUGGUGGUCCCUGCAAUGCAAUGGGGAUUUUCAAAUGUCUGUCCCCUUGAGAGAGAAGACUGUGGCCAAAACAGAGACCUCAAAAUUUGCAAAAGGAACCUGGAGGAAUUUGUUCUGACUCACUGGAAUCUCUAACCAAAACCACAGGAGAUGGACUGAAGAUGCCUGGUUUGCAUUCUGAACCACAGUAGAGAGCCUAUGGCUGUCACCACAGUAGCCUUCCUAGGGUUAAUAACUUGGAAAACCUACUGUGCCUUACUGAGGUGGUGAGGAUGAAAACUGCUGGUUGCCUCUCUUGAAAGACAAAGGCAUGGAUCCUCAUCUGACUGUUCUGGCUAUUGCUCUUGUCCCUUUGGAUUAGAAAGCCAUGUUCCCUAAGAGCCUGAACUGUGAUGUCUAAAUCCUGAAGAACCUGACAAUUCGGUGGACAAUGAAUCGAGGAUUAUUAGACAAGGAAAUAUAUUUUUCUCUUUCUGAAAAUGAUGAGCCAAAAGAAUCAGCAUGAUCUAAUAAAGACCAUGGGGACUGAGAUGAGCCUGGACAAGAGUGGUCAGAACUGAAACUAUGGGUUCCCUUAGGAAAGCAUGGGAAACUGUAAUAACAAAGACUGGUUGGGACAAAUAGAGAGACCUUAAACAAAAUUUCCUGAGGUCAGGUCAUCUCCCCUCUUUGUCCCAGAUUGAAUGAAGAGUCUCCAUUCUAAAUUUUUCUUUAAUGCAUGCUGAUCUUUAAGUUCACAAUGGAUUGGACAUUGACUUGUUGAAAACAGUGAAGAAAACUGAGAUGAUUCUCUGUUGAAAGGGAAGACUCCUCUAAGACUCAAGUCUGGAGAAGAUGUGACAAUAUGAGACAACUAUGUUUCUCUGGAUAAUGGGACCCUGAAGAAUGGAAAAACCUAUUCCUCAUGAUUCUGAGAUAAUGAAUGACAUUCAACUUUUCCAGGGUUUAGCUUGAUUAUGCAACAGUAGAGAACCUAUCUCUCAGAAUCCUGGAAAACACACACAUACAAAAUACCCAACUAAAAUGGUAUUAAAGACCCACUGGUGUUUAGUGGUCCACUGUCAGACUCCAGUGUAUGCUUGAAGACUCUUCACCCCACAAAUCCCCAAGCAGACUGAACUAUUGCCUCCAAAGAAUGUAUAGGAAAGCAACUAUACUUAAAUUUUAUCCAAACCAACUUUGACUUCAGUCCUGAGGAAAAAAUGUUUUACAUUAGCCAUCAAGUUUGCCUCUCUCCCACAUGCAUAAACUCUCUGGAUGAGCAAACAAGAUUUUUCAGCCUAGUGCUUUUCUAACAAAUUUCAUGUGUAAGCAAAGAAUCACAGUACUUUGUAUUUGUAUGGCUGUGCUGUUCUGAUAAACUGGGAAUGCAAGGUAGUUUCAACAGAUUCACUUCUGCUCCCCAUCUGACUAUUCCGACGAGCGGAGAGGUUUGGUGCCAAACUGGAGACAACUCUCUGGUUCCAGUAAUGUACCAUGAAACAAAAUGAAAAAAAGACAAAUUAGAGCUAUAUUGCAUCAAUUUUAUAUUCUGUUCAAGACAAUAAAAAGCCCCUCACAUUCA